rnacentral:lncRNA from 1 species
GUAAAUGAAUUUAGAGGAUUUUCAAAUAAACUGGUUUUUAAAACAAAAAUACAAAUUUUAAAGAGACGAGAACUUUUAAUCUGCAUUUUUAGAGGAGGGUAUAAAUAGUUAAAAAGGGGAAGAAUAUUAACAUUCAUGGAAGAAAUUAUUUUGCUCGUUAGUUUACCCGCCACCAUUUACCACCUCUGCUAAAUUGGUAUAUACAAUAAAUCUAUCAUAAAGAAGGGCUUGACACACUCAAUUAUAUGUUGUUUUGAUCUCAUAAAGUAAUAUUUGGAUGUAGGGCAGUACAAAAAGCUCCCGGCUUGGAGCUCACUUGGAUUUAGCUCGGAAAAAACUUGCUCGAUAUGGCUCGGUGCCGGCCCGGCUCGGUUAGAAAGUGAGCCUAGCUCGGCUCGGCUUGUAACGAGCCGAAUUGGCUCGGUUGGUCGCUCGGCUCGGCUUAUUUUACUUGUAAUAUAUUCUAAUAUUAUAAACAUUAUAAUAUAUUACACAAAAACUGAUUACUAUUUACAUGUAUUUAGGAGUGUAAUUUGAUAUCUAUGACAUAUUUGAAGCCUUAUUUGUAUUGUUAA